CGGACCAGGCUUCAUUCCCCU
rnacentral:ncRNA from 2 species